ensembl:lncRNA
ACAAACCAAAAACAAACCGUUUGACUGGUGUGAAAAGAACAAUAAAAGCUUUGAAAGAACCCUUAGAGUUACCAAUGAGCCCUAGUGCUUCAAACCUGAACCUAUAGUUACCAGUCAGCCACAGUACAGUAUUGAAACGCCUGGUUAUAAAGUCAGAAAACAUCAUCUUUCUGAAGAAUUCAAGUUCAAGCCGUGGCUCAGAAAAUCAACCGCAACCAUCCUCAACAUCUGCUGGGUCCUCACAUCCAAUCCGACCCAAACCCUCACCACACAUACCCUCUUCCCUGCCAACUCUGGGAAAUCCUAACAAUAUGAAAAAUACUCCUCAGUUUGUGUCAUUAUCUCAACCAGCAAAGCAAUUGGUGUCACACAAUAGCUCAGUGGCUGGAAAUCAGUUUGAGAGCACAGUACCAAACCCAGAGAAGAGAGAGCAUUCAGAGACCUCCGUUUUAUGUCCACUCAACCCUUUAAAAAACUAUGAACAACCGGAGGAGCCACUGUUCAUAGAUUUCAAGGACUUGGAUAAUAAAGUGCUCGCAUCAAUGAACAAAACAUGGACAGUGAUGGCCACCGCUCAACACAGACAGAAACGCAGAGGCGUGAUGGGAAUCUCCCAAUAAAAUUGGAAACAGGGACACAAACAGGAGCUUUAUCUUACCGAGAUGUCUCAGUUCGGUGCUCACUUAUUCAUCACAGCAACUCUGUCUCUUUCCCCACUGCUGAUCAGAAAACCCAUGUCUUUACCACAAGGUGGCAGUGUCUUAAUUUUAAUCAGUUGCUCAAUCCAACUAGACUGGCCCUGUGUCUCAACGUGCUUACUUAUACUACGCUUUUAAAGUAUGUACUCUUUUGAUGAAGAAAAAGUACACACUUUUGAGUGUGUAGUAGAAGAGUAGGGAAGCUUUGGGACAUACUAUAACGUCAUACAAUUGUGUCUUUAAAGGACCGCUUUGUCGCACCUGUUACACGCACCCUGUCACUGUAAACUGGCCUGUCAAUCAUCUUGUAACAGUUAGCAUCCUUCACAUUUAAUUUCAUUUAACUUCCGACCGUACUGGAGAGAAAAUAAGUAGCUUGUUGAUCUGCCAGUCGCAGGUCUUUCAUGCGGAGAACUCUGCUCAUUUUCUGCCUAAUGAUGCAUUUAAAAGUUAACGACCAAAUGGAUGUUUAUAAAAGUUCACAUUGCUGUUGCAGAUGAACUAUAACACUGAUAACAAUAAAUAAAUA